AUGAAGAUACAUAUUCAAUUCCUUCGAUCAAGUGGAAAGGCACUAAAUGUGUUUAUAGGCCACUUUUGUUCUAAAUGCACUAAACAAGAAGAUAGUGCCACCUCGAAAAGCCAGACCACUGAUGGCACGUGUAUACAUGGGUUAAUCGCACCGUCCAGCAAGGAUGAAUUGUCGGCUGUACCUGAAGUUGCUGGUGAUGACAGAAAUACAGAAGUGCCUAAUGUCCAGUUGAAAGAGAAGCCAGUUCUCGGUUUUGACCCUCCUAGGAAGCCGAGGGCAAGACAUAGACUCAAAAUCUGGAUCAGCACUCGGCACAAUGGCAUAAUUGGACGGGCGAAGCGGUUAUCAGCUGAACAUUUGAAUACUGGCUGGCCAGAUUGGCUUGUGACUGUGGCACCUGAGGCAGUGCAAGGCUGGGCCCCACUGCGAGCUGAUUCGUUUGAGAGAUUAAGUAAGAUUGGACAAGGGACUUAUAGUAGUGUUUACAAAGCUCGGGAUCUUAGAACAGCCAAAAUUGUUGCGCUCAAGAAGGUUCGGUUUGUCAAUACAGAUCCUGAAAGUGUGCGCUUUAUGGCUAGAGAAAUAUGUGUUCUUCGGAAACUCAAUCAUCCCAAUGUUAUAAAGUUGGAAGGGAUAGUAACAUCUCCUGUUUCACAAAACCUAUAUCUCGUCUUUGAAUACAUGGAACAUGACCUUGUUGGCCUUGCUGCAACUCCAGAACUCAAGGUCACCGAGUCACAGGUCAAGUGCUUGAUGCAACAGAUACUUAGUGGCCUUGAUCAUUGCCACAGCAAAGGAAUUCUUCAUCGUGACAUGAAGGGCUCCAAUCUCUUGAUUGAUAGCAAUGGUGUUUUGAAGAUUGCUGACUUUGGCUUAGCAACAUUUUAUGAUCCUGAGAGUCGGCAACCACUGACAAGCCGUGUUGCAACAUUGUGGUACAGACCACCGGAACUUCUGCUUGGUGCCACCAGGUACAGUGCUGCUGUGGAUAUGUGGAGUACAGGGUGCAUUUUUGGGGAAUUGCUGACUGCCAAGCCAGUCAUGCCAGGCAGAACUGAGGUGGAGCAAAUUCACAAGAUUUUCAAGCUCUGUGGAUCACCUUCUGACGAGUACUGGCAGAAAUUGGAAGUGCCCCCAACAGGGAUGUUCAAGCCCCUGUGCCAGUAUAAGCGGUGCAUUGCCGAGAAUUUCAAAGAUUUACCUCCAUUAGCUCUAGUUCUUCUAGAUAACUUGCUUGCAUUAGAACCAGAAGCUCGUGGAACAGCUGCCUCGAGUCUUCAGAGUGACUUUUUCAGAACAGAGCCACUUGCUUGCAGCCCUUCGGACUUGCCAAAGUGUCCACCGAGCAAAGAAUAUGAUGCUAGACUCCGACAAGAGGAAGCAAGAAGACAAAGAAGGGCAGAAUCUGUUCGAUCAGGAAUUGAGAAUCCUAGAGAAAACCUUGCUGCAUAUGGUUCUAUUAAACCGCAGAGGCUUCAGCAUACCAAAACAAGGUUCAAUAGCGCACAUCUCAAUCCAAAGGAUGAUCAACUGACGUUGGCUACUGAGGUACAACCUCUAGGGUUUGAUUCCACAUGGAACAAGGGAGGUAACAAUUAUAUGGACCAUCACGAAGUACCUGAACGCUACAAAUCUGGCCGAUUGGCAAAUUCCAACAUUUCAAGGACAAAGGGCUCAGACAUGUUUAAACCUGAAUCGACUGGCGUAGGGAACAUUAUGCCUGCUUCUCACAACAAAGAGAUGGGAGUAAAAGGCCCAAUGGUGGACUACAAGGGUAAGAGCAAAGUAGUCAAUUUCUCUGGUCCAGUGGCUACUCAAGAUGGGAACAUACAGGAUAUGCUUAGAGAACAUGAGCGGAAUGUUCAGGAAGCGGUGCGCAAAGCGCGCUGCAUCAAGAGUUGA
rnacentral:rRNA from 1 species